rnacentral:lncRNA from 1 species
CUUUCCAUGAGUGACUAUUUUUCUCUAGUGCCUGGGCUCCUCAGGAAGACAGUGGUCAGUUGAGUCCUUGCCAAGCCAGGCUGGCUUCGAGGAGGAGUGAUUGAGGCGAUUGUUUUCAGUGGCUUUGCGACAAGAUCCCACAUUCAGCCUGAUAAUGCAGACUCUUUCAAGCCAUCUUCCUGGCCCCACGGACAGCCCUGUGGACUUUAAGCUCCAGUGCCAGAUGGAAAGACAACAGCCUUGGGAGACUGCUUAACAAGCUCCCCAAAGGGUCAGAGCCUGGAAACAAUGUUCCUUCAAUCCUUUGCCAGCAGGGAUCUUCUUUAGUUUCUGCCAAUAAGGGCCACUGGUGUAAAAUUUGGAAACCAGACAAAGAGAAGCUGACUUUUGGCAAUGGCGUGAGACAUGGGCAUCAAUAAAGGCUGGGUGAGCUCUGCCAGUGGCUUUCAGGCGUGAGUCAUCUGUUCACACAGUUGAGAUCUGCAGUGGCUGUCCCUGCAGUCUCCACUUCCUGGAUUCCUGAAUGCUUCCGAAGCUUCCCUGACCUUGACUCUCUCCCCAACAGCUUCGUAAGCCUGUAAUCUCCUGCAUUAAUCUCCUCUCCAUUGAAGGACCUGGAGGGUUUCCAUUUUCCCAGGCAAACCCUGUCUGAGACGUAUCCCCACUAGCACUGCAUAAGAGCUCCCAGGGCCCCACCUCCUCACCACACAGUGCUUGUCAACCCUUCGGUCAGUUGCGGAAGUGAACAAUAGUAUCUCGUUGUAGUUUUAGUUUCAGAAUUGUGCGUGUAGAAUUGAUGUUUUGUUUGUAUGUUUAACAGCCAUUUGUAUUUUCUUUUUUAUAAACCAGGUUCGUAUCCUUUGAUUAUUUUUCUGUUGUGUUAUUGAUGGGUGUUGUCACCUACAUGGAUCAUACCUGUUAGCACACUUAAAAAUUUUUUUAAAAAAUAUCUUUUUAAAAAAUUAAUAAGAAAUAGCACUGUAUGACAUAAAUGGCAAAACUUUUCUCUGGUUUUCAGUUUGUCUUUUGACUUACUUUAUAUGUACUUCUUGACAUGAAGAUUAAAACAUUUUCAUGUAAUCCAACGUUUUUUCUUUUAUGGAUUUCUUUUUUUUUUGGAGACAGAGUCUCACCCUGUGGCCCAGGCUGGAGUGCAGUGGUAUGAUCUCGGCUCACUGCAACCUCUACUUCCCAGGUUCAAGCGAUUCUCA